rnacentral:rRNA from 1 species
CGGGGUGCAGCAGGCGCGAAAACUUUACAAUGCUGGCAACAGCGAUAAGGGGACCUCGAGUGCCAGGUUACAAAUCUGGCUGUCGUGAUGCCUAAAAAGCAUUGCAUAGCAAGGGCCGGGCAAGACCGGUGCCAGCCGCCGCGGUAACACCGGCGGCUCGAGUGGUAACCGUUAUUAUUGGGUCUAAAGGGUCUGUAGCCGGCCGGAUAAGUCUCUUGGGAAAUCCAGCAGCUCAACUGUUGGGCUUUCAGGAGAUACUGUCUGGCUCGAGGCCGGGAGAGGUGAGAGGUACUUCAGGGGUAGGGGUGAAAUCUUGUAAUCCUUGAAGGACCACCAGUGGCGAAGGCGUCUCACCAGAACGGACCUGACGGCAAGGGACGAAAGCUAGGGGCACGAACCGGAUUAGAUACCCGGGUAGUCCCAGCCGUAAACGAUACUCGCUAGGUGUCGGCCACGGUGCGACCGUUGUCGGUGCCGUAGGGAAGCCGUGAAGCGAGCCACCUGGGAAGUACGGCCGCAAGGCUGAAACUUAAAGGAAUUGGCGGGGGAGCACAAGGGCGAA